UGCUAAAUAUAUAUAAUGUGACACGUUUGUUCUGAUUCUCAGUUCCUUUCACGAUAAUUGUUAAGAAAUGCAAGUCACACGUUCUCCUGUCUGUACUUUCACCAAAACUUUUUGCUCAGUUUUUUCAAGCAUGCUUUUAAUUAUAUAUAUAUAUGUAUAUAUGUAGCCAGAGGCGUUGGUCCAGACUGUGGACAGGCUCUUGUAAGUGGUUAUGGCGGAAUAGUGUCUAACGUGAAAUGAUCAACACACCAGCAACGUAUGUGCCGUCUGGUUUCAUUUCACAUCUGCGGGACUCACGGUCUAGCAAGUUUCGCCUCGGUCGCUGACCCUUCCUUCUCUCUUUCUGUGAGUUUCAUUCCUUUGAUCCUGCCUAUGGUUUGUCCUUCUGUCCUUCUUCCAGAAAUUAUUUUUCUGUUUUUGAUUCUUUGAUUUCAAUUUCUUUCGUUUGUUCUUGAAUAAGAUAUGGUGAUUAUUGCGAUAAUAUUGAAUAAAAAUUUUUUUUGUUAUUAUUA